rnacentral:rRNA from 1 species
GGAUGCUCCAGUUGGAUGCAUGUCCUUCUGGGAAAGAUUCAUCGGUAUGGGAUGGGGUCGCGUCCUAUCAGCUUGAUGGCGGGGUAACGGCCCACCAUGGCUUCGACGGGUAGCCGGCCUGAGAGGGCGACCGGCCACAUUGGGACUGAGAUACGGCCCAGACUCCUACGGGAGGCAGCAGUGGGGAAUAUUGCACAAUGGGCGCAAGCCUGAUGCAGCGACGCCGCGUGCGGGAUGACGGCCUUCGGGUUGUAAACCGCUUUUGACUGGGAGCAAGCCCUUCGGGGUGAGUGUACCUUUCGAAUAAGCACCGGCUAACUACGUGCCAGCAGCCGCGGUAAUACGUAGGGUGCAAGCGUUAUCCGGAAUUAUUGGGCGUAAAGGGCUCGUAGGCGGUUCGUCGCGUCCGGUGUGAAAGUCCAUCGCUUAACGGUGGAUCCGCGCCGGGUACGG